rnacentral:lncRNA from 1 species
UUUCUUCCCAGCACAUUGGCACUUCUUCAGUCCCCGAUCCCGUAUGCAAUCGCACACUUGAUCACUCGGCUUCCAAAAACCCUUUCACAAAUCCAAUCGCACUGUCCCACUUGCUGUCAAAUUCCUCAAACACUACGAUGGCGCCUCCUCCUGGACCCUAUUCCGGCACCAGCACCCUCGCUUUAGUAAAUUACAUAUCUCUUCGACGUUUUUUUCCCCAGUAGUAUACGUACAAAGAUAUGCUAAAUUGUAAUGUAUUUCUACGGAUGUCAGGUGGUUCGAGUGUCCGCUUUUUCAUUAGGGCUUAUCUACGGAAACAUGAAACUCAAGAUUAUUAGGGUACUGUAAUUUUAAAUUUUCUGACUGAUCCUUUCGAUUUUAUUUUAUUUUUUAAUUUUUGGUUGCAUUAAAUAGAAAGAAAGAAAUAAGUUUGUGUUGAGCUAUAUUUUGUUCUUAAUUGAUUGGUGGUAUUUCAGUAAUUUUGUUCCACUUUAAGUUUCUUAGGUUAAUUGAUUUUGGGGGUUUAUCUAAGUGGGAAAUGUUGGUUAUAUGUAGAUCAGGUAAUUCAAGCUGAAUUAUUCUGUUUUAAGAUUGGGAUUAUGUUUGCUGUGUUUUUGUUCUGUUUUGUUUGGAUGAAACAAGAUUAAAAGAGCAACGUUGGGAGCUUCAAAGUUGAGAUUUGGGGGAUGGACAAAUUGAAGACAGAAAAUGGAACCAAAGGAUGGCCCUUAGCGUAGGCUGGUGAAAUUGGACUAUGUUACGAUUUUUCUUGGAAUCCAUUAUAAUGAAGGCUAACCAAAUACGUAUUUAGAAUUGCGGGAAAAAGAACAUUUCCAUUUAAUUAUUCGAGGAAGAUCAUUUCAGACUAAUCCCAGAACUUAGAUGGGUAUGCUGUGUUAGGGCCAGAAUAAUGUCUUUGUAAUGCUUGAAGAUCACAGUGCUUUCUGGUCACUGUUUAAUUUUCUCAUUGCAAUUGCAAAU